rnacentral:rRNA from 1 species
GACGAACCGUGCGAACGUUAUUCGGAAUCACUGGGCUUAAAGCGUGUGUAGGCGGGCCGCCACGUCGGCUGCUGAAAUCCCCCGGCUCAACCGGGGAAGUGGCACCGAUACGAGCGGCCUCGAGGGGGGUAGGGGGGUCUGGAACUUCCGGUGGAGCGGUGAAAUGCGUUGAGAUCGGAAGGAACGCCCGUGGCGAAAGCGAGGCCCUGGACCCUUACUGACGCUGAGACGCGAAAGCCAGGGGAGCGAACGGG